UAAGAAAGAUGGCAGACAUAAGGCUCUUGUUCGCGGCAUGUGUAUUCAUUUUCAUCUGUUAGGAAACGUGAUAGAAGCAAUGCCAUUCCAUCAGGCAACAAUAUAACAGGAAACAAACUACUGGCUGUGAGAGAACCGAGGCAGCCAUCUGCGGUGUCAACUCAUACCGAUGGCUCUGACCAUCAGGGGCACUUUGGGGGUUCAGUGUGCCCAAGGACACUUUGACAUAUGGGCUGCAGGCAACAUGAAUCGAACCUCCGACCCUCCAGUUGGGAGACGAACGACCUACCCACUGAACCACAGUCGUCCCCAGACAUCAAGAUGAUAGAGAUUACAAUAAGACUCCUGCUGGUUGUCUCAGUACACAUAGACACAUAAUACAUUUCUUAUACUUAUUUUGGCCCCAUGACAAAAUCUAUCUGAAGUUUCCCUUACAAUGCAAGGACUAUGACAAGAGGACGAUGUUUCUCUAUACUGUACCUAAGCACAGAGCAGUUACUGAACAGGCUAAAGUUACAUGUAGUAUAUUAUUGGCUAUAGAAGUUACAGUUAAUUUACCAUUAUAAUAAGA